rnacentral:snRNA from 1 species
GAAAGUGACUACAUCGGG